rnacentral:rRNA from 1 species
GCCAGCAGCCAUAUCACCCUGUGACUCACAACUGGCAGCUCCCUGAAGCUCGGUACCUGGUCAGUACCUGGAUGGGAGACCUCCUGGGAAAAACUAAGGUUGCUGCUGGAA